AUUUUUAAAUGAACAAUUCAGGGGCACUUAGUGCAUUUACCAUGUUGUGUUGGCUGUGUCCUCUUAUGAUGGGUUAGAAGAGGUAUCACACCUUUCCACCCCAACAGUUUCUGGCACCCAAAGUGGGGCAGCUGAGACACCUGACUUGCUCUGGAACCUGCAGACAAAAUCCUGGAACAACUGAACUCCAUUGAAAUGCUCUGAAAGCAAGAAAAAAGUUUAUGAAUCUCUUUAACAACAAAAGUAUACUGAAUAACUUCACAAUAGCAAUAUGACCGAAAGCACUGAAUAAAUAUAUAGUAUUUUUUAAUUUUUAAAAAACUUCUUCCCUCUUGAUAGGGUUCAGGACAUGCUACCCCAAAAUACAGAAUAAGUCAUGUUAGCAUCUGAGAAAACAUCAGAGGCAGGAAAGUCAUUCCCACCUUCCUCCCACCCUUCCUCCAUGAAGCAGGUCAUAAAAUCUAGGAAGAAUUUUCUAACCUUUUGCUAAAAGCAAGUCAUGAUCCUCAUUCUGGAGGUGCCCUCCCCAAACCUGGAAGAAAA
rnacentral:lncRNA from 1 species